CCUGCAUUCCUUUGUUCCUCAUUAUUUUUGUUAGUUUCAUUCACUUUGUUGUGUAUGGGUGUAGUUUGUUCACUUACAUUGCCAAAGCACAUCCCAUUGAAUGAAUGUAUCACAAUUUAUUCUAUUGUUUAUGAAUAGUUCGUGGUAGAGGUUAAUAGCAAAUCAUCACCUCUGUUUUUUCCUGGGUUCCUCUUCCUCCUGGGGACUUCUGAACUGCAUUUACCAGCUUCCCUUCCAGUAAGGUAUGGACGUGGGUUCGAGCCUGGCCCAUAGGAAUCUCCCAUGUGUGAUCCUCUGUGAUUUUUUUCAUCUAGACUGAAGAUGACCUCCAGGACACUGCAGGCCACCUACAGAAUGGAAGAGGGCUCUCACCAGAACCUAACUAUGUUGGUAUCCUGAUCUUGCUCUUCGAGCCUCUAGAACUGCAUGGAAGCUCUGGCUCACCAGCCUGCCUCUGCUUGACAAAUGAUGAAGAUAAUGAAAGUGAAGGUGCAGAGCGGAACGGCCAAGGCAGUCUGGGCACGUCUCUCAUCACCACCUGUUUGAUGCAGUAAAGUCAAAUGCCCUAAUGAUGAAGGCAGCGAAAGGAGAUUUAACCCAGUAGCUGACUCAUUUGAAGGAUGAAGAAGUUACAAGCCUGCAGUUGCCUCCAUGAAGAGAAAAUAUUCCCUUUGGUCUGUGAAUGGUUUUGAAAUAAACUGCAGGAUAUGAUAUAUGGCUGUUGAAGAUGUUAAGGCUUUCAAAUGGAUAGCGGGCUCUGACAUCACCUGAAUGAAGAGGAAAUAUGGCCUACCCAAUGGGUGUUUUCAGAAUGAAUGAAAUUUCAAAGUGGAAAUUCUUCCUUGAGAUGCAAGGGUAGAACACAUUUCUGUGUCAAUAGCCAUGGCUGAAGCAAUAGAACGGGCUGGUGGGUCAAACAGGCAUUUUACCUCAGACCUCUCCCUCUUACAAUGAUCAGUUUCAGAGACCUUCCACUCAGGCAGCCUUUUCACAAAUGUCUCAGACAAUGAGAGCAUUUCAGCGAGGAAUUUUACAUGUAGGCAAAGACCAGAUUGGUGGGCUUAGUACUCCCUUCCACCAAACCAUGUGAUAGAGACAAAAUAGAAAUUUUGUGGUUACCUGGUCUACAACUUCUAGUUUUAAGAAAUCUGUUUUGCUCCUUUGUGAGUUUAUAUUUGUACCAUAUCCAGCUAGAAUAAGAGACCGUUCAAUCAGUAUGCUAUGAGAAAUAUGCCAGGACAGCAAAGCAAUUUCAAAGUCAACCUACUAACCACAUUGCCUUAGUGUUACUUUCAGUCUGGUGUGUAAAAGAGCUGUAAUGUAAAUGAUAGUGCCAAAAAAGUUCUUUGAUAAAUUUUAAAGUUUAUUCUCCACAGCCCUCUUCAUCAGAUAGGAACUCUAUCUACUUAAAGAAUCAAUUCUAUUAAUGUUUCCCUUUUGAUAAAGACCUCAGGCCUUUAUACCUUGGUAGAAAGGAAAAUGCAAACCUAUAGUUUGGGACAUAGAUAUACAUGAGCGGGAGAUGAGAACUCUAGCAGGAAAAUAUGGAGACUCUCACAGGUAUGCAUGUUUAACUGUGAGGAGAUGCAAGGAUAUUCUCAUGAUUAGAAGUAAAAAAUAUUUUAAACUAAUGUAUAAGCUUCUAAGUGACACUCAUAUUCUCCUGUACCCCUUUCCCGCAAAGUCUUUCAGUAUUCUCCGUGUGUUAAUCUUGUGGCUAGCCAUCUUGGCCUGGUUCAACUGCUAAGUGAAUGCUGCUUCUAUAAACAUUUCACUGCUACAAGUUGGAUUUUUCACAGCAUUAACUUUAACUACAUGGGUGUUUGUAAUGGAAUAAAACUUCAAAUUGAUGUUUUGCCAUAUUGGUAGUUAAAGAAGUGGGCCUCAAAUGGAGAUAGAUGUGCGCCUCAUUUCAUGGGAAAAUUGUUAUCUCAUGGGCCAAGUUUAAGAUGUAGAUGGCUGUAGCUUCACUGACAAAGUCUUAAAG